CCCCAGGUCCUGCUCAAAGCUGUGCACUUGGGCCCCCAGGCAUGCGGCUUGCUCCGGAAGGUCCCUUACCUGUGGCACUGAGCAUGUACUUCCUGCAGUGCAGUUAGAAAUGCCCAUCCGACUCUGCUUGCAAAGACAUCUGCAAUGGCAGUUCACAUGGCUCAGAUAGCUCACUUCUGCAGAGAGCUGAAUUUAAGUGGGACAGGGUAGCAAGAAUAAUUACUUUGACAAUCAUUUUGCCACCUGAUGACUGUGCUGCCUGUCCUGAGCUGAGGCACAGCUGCUUAAAGACUGUUACCGGAAAGGAAUCCUGAUCCAGACGCCAAGAGAGGGUUCUUGGACUCAUGCAAGAAAGACUUCAGUUCUCAGGUCCCUGGACCAUGAAGGGCCACAUCCAAGGAGCUACCCCAGGAGGCCUCUCAUUUGCAUUUGUCCCCGCUAAUGCAGGACAGAGAUCAUGGAAGUUGGGCCCGACUGGAUGAGAUUUGGGGGUCUUUGGAAGUGGAGAAUGUGUUUGCCCUGGGGAAGAGAGGUGAUGUCUAGGAGACCUCUUCACUCAGGGCAAGCUCUAUGACCUGCUUUGACUCCAGAAUGUGGUAGAAGUGGCAUCACAUAAAUUGCAGAGCCUAGGCUUCAAGAGACCUUGCAACUUGCCUCUCACUGACUUGAAGUGCUCCCAUCAGAGCAUCUUGUAAGGAGCAGGUGGAGCAUGUGGACAAGCCAUCCCCACCAGCCCCUGAGACAUGUGAGAGAGGCCAGAACAGGCCAUCCGGACCCCACUGUGCUGGUGGAUGAGACAGCAGAAGGAAUAUCAACCUACCAACAGAAUCCUGAGAAAUGCUCACUCUUACUUCAAGCUGCUGCAUUUUGAUGUUAUGAAACCAUAAAUAACUUAUGAAGUCAUCUUUGCUGACUUAAAGUUUUCCAUAACUUUAUUAUAACAUAUCAAAAUUAUGAAAAAUGUGAAAAGUAGAAAACUGAUGAAUUUUGCUUCUUCAUAUGGUCUUUAAGAAUCUCAAAGGCACUGAAGUUUUUUAUCUUUUCUGUCUUAGAAUAAAAAACCUUGAAUGAAAA
rnacentral:lncRNA from 1 species